rnacentral:rRNA from 1 species
CCUACGGGCGGCAGCAGUGAGGAAUCUUGGUCAAUGGGCUUACGCCUGAACCAGCCAAGCCGCGUGAGGGAAGACUGCCCUAUGGGUUGUAAACCUCUUUUGUCAGGGAGCAACGCCGGCUACGUGUAGCCGGACUGAGAGUACCUGAAGAAAAAGCAUCGGCUAACUCCGUGCCAGCAGCCGCGGUAAUACGGAGGAUGCGGGCGUUAUCCGGAUUUAUUGGGUUUAAAGGGUGCGUAGGCGGAAUGCCAAGUCAGCGGGAAAAUCGCGGGGCUCAACCUCGCUCCGCCGUUGAAACUGGCGUUCUUGAGUGGGCGAGGAGGAUGCGGAAUGCGUGGUGUAGCGGUGAAAUGCAUAGAUAUCGCGAAGAACUCCGAUUGCGAAGGCAGCAUACCGGCGCCCAACUGACGCUGAAGCACGAAGGCGUGGGUAUCGAACAGGAUUAGAUACCCGAGUAGUC